CCUACGGGAGGCAGCAGUCGAGAAUCAUUCACAAUGGGGGAAACCCUGAUGGUGCGACGCCGCGUGGGGGAAUGAAGGUCUUCGGAUUGUAAACCCCUGUCAUGUGGGAGCAAAUUAAAAAGAUAGUACCCCAAGAGGAAGAGACGGCUAACUCUGUGCCAGCAGCCGCGGUAAUACAGAGGUCUCAAGCGUUGUUCGGAAUCACUGGGCGUAAAGCGUGCGUAGGCUGUUUCGUAAGUCGUGUGUGAAAGGCGCGGGCUCAACCCGCGGACGGCACAUGAUACUGCGAGACUAGAGUAAUGGAGGGGGAACAGGAAUUCUCGGUGUAGCAGUGAAAUGCGUAGAUAUCGAGAGGAACACUCGUGGCGAAGGCGGGUUCCUGGACAUUAACUGACGCUGAGGCACGAAGGCCAGGGGAGCGAAAGGGAUUAGAUACCCUUGUAGUC
rnacentral:rRNA from 1 species